rnacentral:rRNA from 1 species
UACGUAGGUGGCAAGCGUUGUCCGGAUUUAUUGGGCGUAAAGCGAGCGCAGGCGGUUUUUUAAGUCUUAUGUGAAAGCCUUCGGCUCAACCGACGAAGUGCAUCGGACACUUGGAAACUUGAGUGCAGAAGAGGACAGUGGAACUCCAUGUGUAGCGGUGAAAUGCGUAGAUAUAUGGAAGAACACCAGUGGCGAAGGCGGCUGUCUGGGCUGUAACUGACGCUGAGGCUCGAAAGUAUGUGUUUCAAACA